UACCAGCACCCCGAGUGGUCGGGACGUUUAUUGGGCCUAAAGCAUCCGUAGCCGGUUCUACAAGUCUUCCGUUAAAUCCAGCUGCUUAACAGAUGGGCUGCGGAAGAUACUAUGGAGCUAGGAGGCGGGAGAGGCAAGCGGUACUCGAUGGGUAGGGUAAAUCCGUUGAUCCAUUGAAGACCACCAGUGGCGAAGGCGGCUUGCCAGACGCGCUCGACGGUGAGGGAUGAAAGCUGGG
rnacentral:rRNA from 1 species